rnacentral:ncRNA from 1 species
AUUGAGACUAAUUCUUUCUUCUUAAUUAACUAUGUGAUUAUAUCAUAGAUAAUGUUUAUUUUUAAAUAAUAUAUAAUUAAAUUAAUGUUUAUAUUAACUAAUUUAUAUGAAAGUAUAUGUAGUAAUUUAUAUUAAAAGAUGGAUUAAAUUAGUGCCAGCAUUCGCGGUUAGACUAAUAAUCUUAGCUAAUUUAUGGUUAAUUUAAUGAUAAAUUUAUUGGAAUUUGAAAAGUUUAUGUAUAAUUUUUAAUUAUUUGUGGUGAAAUAUAAUAUUAAAAUUAAUUUACAUAAUAUUUUAACUAUUUUCAUUAGUAGGUUUUUAUUAAAAAUAAACUAGGAUUAGAUACCCUAUUAUAUGAAUUGAUUUCUUGCUUUAAUUAAGAGAUUAAGUGUUUUAAUCACUAAAUUUAAAGAAUUUGGCGGUAUUCUUCUGAUUAGAGGAACUUGUUUAGUAAUUGAUAUUCCACGAUAGGAUUGACUUGAUUAAUAAUUUUUAUGUAUUGUUGUUUAUUUAGACUAAAUUGUUAAGUUUUAGUUUUGAUAUGGGAGAUUUCAUAAUAAUUCAAAUCAAAGUGUAGGUUAAUUAAGAUUUUAAUGAGUUACUUUUUUAAUAUUAAUUAAGUUAAAUUUGGAUUAACAAAUUUAAUUUUGUUAUGAAAUAGUAUUUAAUUGUAAAGUAAAAUAAUAAUUUUUCUUGAAAUUUACGAAGAAUAUGUACAAAUUGCCCGUCAUUCUUGUCUAUAAGAUGAGAGAAGUCGUAACAUAGUAAAUGUACUGGAAAGUGCCUUUAGAGUUAC